AGAGUUGAUCAUGGCUCAGGAUGAACGCUAGCUACAGGCUUAACACAUGCAAGUCGAGGGGUAGCAGGGUAGCAAUACCGCUGACGACCGGCGCACGGGUGAGUAACACGUAUCCAACCUUCCCAUAACUCAGGGAUAGCCUUUCGAAAGAAAGAUUAAUACCUGAUAGUUACUUUUUCAAGGCAUCUUGAAAAAGUUAAAGAUUUAUUGGUUAUGGAUGGGAUGCGUUCCAUUAGAUAGUUGGUGAGGUACGGCUCACCAAGUCUUCGAUGGAUAGGGGUUCUGAGAGGAAGGUCCCCCACAUUGGUACUGAGACACGGACCAAACUCCUACGGGAGGCAGCAGUGAGGAAUAUUGGUCAAUGGGCGAGAGCCUGAACCAGCCAAGUAGCGUGAAGGAAUGAAGGUCCUAUGGAUUGUAAACUUCUUUUAUAGUAGAAUAAAGUGAGCCACGUGUGGUUUUUUGUAUGUAUACUAUGAAUAAGGAUCGGCUAACUCCGUGCCAGCCGCAGC
rnacentral:rRNA from 1 species